rnacentral:rRNA from 1 species
GGCCCGCCAGAUUACUACAAGUAAAAACUUAAAACUCAAAGGACUUGACGGUGUCCCAUACACAACCUAGAGGAGCCUGUCCUAUAAUCGAUGAUCCACGAAGAACCUCACCACCCUUUGCCUAACAACCUAUAUACCGCCGUCGAAAGUUCACCUUGUGAGAGAGAAAAAGUGAACAUAAUAGCUCAACACUAACACGUCAGGUCAGGGUGUAUUUUAUGGGGGGGC